CCCCCUUACCUUGGCCUGGCAUUUCCGAUGACAGGAGAAGCUGCAGACUGCAAGAGGGCGAGACACAGAAAGAAAGUUUAGCCGCGAGCCGGCCUCCGCUUCUUCCCCAGCGGCGAAGAGACCUUCACAGCACCCACCUGCCCACCAGGACUCACAGCCCUCCCCUGCCUUGCUUCUUUCCACGGCCUGGCCUGGAGGUGGGUCUUGUCCAAUCAGUUGAAGGCCCGAACCACAAAGAUUGAUCUCCCCCAGCAAGAAGAAAUGCUGCCAGCAUUGGGACUUGAACUGCAGCUCCUCCCCGGGUUUCCAACCUAAUAGUCUGCCCUGCAGAUUUUGGACUUGCCUAGUCUCUGCAAUCAUGUGAGUCAAUUCCUUAAAAUAAAUACCUGUCUAUCUACCUACCUACUCACUUA